AGAGCGAACGCUGGCGGCAGGCCUAACACAUGCAAGUCGAGCGCCCCGCAAGGGGAGCGGCAGACGGGAGAGUAACACGUGGGAACGUACCCUUUGGUUCGGAACAACACAGGGAAACUUGUGCUAAUACCGGAUAAGCCCUUACGGGGAAAGAUUUAUCGCCAAAGGAUCGGCCCGCGUCUGAUUAGCUUGUUGGUGAGGUAACGGCUCACCAAGGCUACGAUCAGUAGCUGGUCUGAGAGGAUGAUCAGCCUCACUGGGACUGAGACACGGCCCAGACUCCUACGGGAGGCAGCAGUGGGGAAUAUUGGACAAUGGGCGCAAGCCUGAUCCAGCCAUGCCGCGUGGAUGAUGAAGACCCUAGGGUUGUAAAGUCCUUUCGACGGGGAAGAUAAUGACGGUACCCGUAGAAGAAGCCCCGGCUAACUUCGCGCCAGCAGCCGC
rnacentral:rRNA from 1 species